rnacentral:ncRNA from 1 species
CGGACCGUGAGGCCGGCGUGAAGGAAGCGGGGAGCGAAGCUGCGGGCCGACGAACGGGAACCGGAUAGAAGGCGGAGCCGAGCAGGGCGAGCGGGCACGUAACCGCGAAGCCCUCGUGACCAAGGCAAGGCGACGUAGAUCCGGCGGUCGUGCAGCGAAGGUCGAUGUU